rnacentral:rRNA from 1 species
CGCGUAGGCGGUUUGAUAAGUCGGAUGUGAAAUCCCCGGGCUCAACCUGGGAACUGCAUUCGAUACUGUCUGACUAGAGUAUGGUAGAGGGAAGUGGAAUUCCGGGUGUAGCGGUGAAAUGCGUAGAGAUCCGGAGGAACAUCAGUGGCGAAGGCGACUUCCUGGACCAAUACUGACGCUGAGGUGCGAAAGCGUGGGGAGCAAACA